UUUACUAAAAAAAAUUAAAAAAGAAAAUAAAAACCGUGCAUCGCACGGGAAAAAACACUAGUGACUUAACAUUCUUAAAUAUGUGUACAAGAAUUAUUCAAUCAAGAUCAAGAUCUAGCACAUAGAACAACCCUUUCAUUUCUUAGGUGUUAGCCAUUGAAAACCAAAAUCAUUUACUCAUUUAAAACAGGAAAACAGAAGAUCCCCGUUUUUUUUAAGGGAAAAGUGAGAAUGAAAACAACAAUAAUGGAUUACUUCUUCCACUUGUAUGUGCAGUCACAAACCAGCUAUCAUUUUUUUUAUUUGCUAAAAUAUUUGUUCAAUUUAUCGGAUUUCUGAAAAAAGUUAAAAGUUUGAACACCAGCAGAAAUGGGACCAACAAAAGACUAUUAUCAAAUAUUCGAACAUAAAAAUAAAAAUUAACCAUAAACAAUCCAGCAAAACUGUAACAAAACGAAAUUUUCUAUCCAGCUCGCUAUUAGCACAAUUAAUGUAUU
rnacentral:lncRNA from 1 species